rnacentral:rRNA from 1 species
AUUGAACGCUGGCGGCAGGCCUAACACAUGCAAGUCGAGCGGAGCUGCGGACGGGUGAGUAAUGCCUAGGAAUCUGCCUGGUAGUGGGUGUUAACGUCCGUAACCGUGCGCUAAUACCGCAUACUAUCAGAUGAGCCUAGGUCGGAUUAGCUAGUUGGUGGGGUAAAGUCCUACCAAGGCGACGAUCCGUACCUGGUCUUAGAGGAUGAUCAGUCACACUGGAACUGAGACGCGGUACAGACUAAUACGGGAGGGAGCAGAGGGGAAGAUUGCACAAGGGGAGGAAGCCUGAUGCAGCCAUGCCGCGUAUAUGAAGAAGGCAUGCGGGUAGUAAAGUAAUUUCAGCGGGAAAGCGUUACCAGAAGAAGAAGCACCGGCUAACUCCGUGCCAGCAGCCGCGGUAAUAC